rnacentral:rRNA from 1 species
GAGCGGCNGNGCGGGGGCAACCCUGGNGGCGAGCGGCGAACGGGUGAGGAAUACAUCGGAACGUGCCCGAGAGUGGGGGAUAACGCCGCGAAAGCGGCGCUAAUACCGCAUAUUCUCCGAGGAGGAGAGUGGGGGACCCUGAAGGAAACUGAGGGGCCUCACGCUCACGGAGCGGCCGAUGUCGGAUUAGCUAGUUGGUGGGGUAAAGGCUUACCAAGGCGACGAUCCGUAGCUGGUCUGAGAGGAUGAUCAGCCACACUGGGACUGAGACACGGCCCAGACUCCUACGGGAGGCAGCAGUGGGGAAUUUUGGACAAUGGGGGCAACCCUGAUCCAGCCAUGCCGCGUGCGGGAAGAAGGCCUUCGGGUUGUAAACCGCUUUUAGCCGGGAAGAAAAGGCAACUCUUAAUACGGGUUGUUCUUGACGGUACCGGCGGAAUAAGCACCGGCUAACUACGUGCCAGCAGCCGCGGUAAUACGUAGGGUGCGAGCGUUAAUCGGAAUUACUGGGCGUAAAGCGUGCGCAGGCGGUUCGUUAAGUUCGAUGUGAAAGCCCCGGGCUCAACCUGGG